rnacentral:rRNA from 1 species
UACGAAGGGGGCUAGCGUUGCUCGGAAUGACUGGGCGUAAAGGGCUCGUAGGCGGCGCACGAAGUCCGACGUGAAAUCCCCAGGCUUAACGUGGGAACUGCGUCGGAUACUGGUGGGCUUGAAUCCGGGAGAGGGAUGCGGAAUUCCAGGUGUAGCGGUGAAAUGCGCAGAUAUCGGGAGGAACACCGGUGGCGAAGGCGGUUCUCUGGGCCUUACCUGACGCUGAGGAGUGAAAGCGUGGGGAGCGAACAGG